GUGAGGAAUAUUGGUCAAUGGGCGAGAGCCUGAACCAGCCAAGUCGCGUGAAGGAUGAAGGUUUUAUGAAUUGUAAACUUCUUUUGCAGGGGAAUAAAGUACGGUACGUGUACCGUUUUGUAUGUACUCUGCGAAUAAGGAUCGGCUAACUCCGUGCCAGCAGCCGCGGUAAUACGGAGGAUCCAAGCGUUAUCCGGAUUUAUUGGGUUUAAAGGUUGCGCAGGCGGGUUGAUAAGUCAGCGGUGAAAGUUUGCAGCUUAACUGUAAAAUUGCCGUUGAAACUGUCGAUCUUGAGUGCAAAUGAGGUAAGCGGAAUGUGUUGUGUAGCGGUGAAAUGCUUAGAUAUAACACAGAACACCGAUUGCGAAGGCAGCUUACUGGGAUGCAACUGACGCUCAUGCACGAAAGCGUGGGGAUCAAACAGGAUUAGAUACCCUUGUAGUCC
rnacentral:rRNA from 1 species